CAUGGGAUAUUUUGGCCGCCAUAUUGCCCCUUUGCCGGCUGCAGAGAUGAAGCGUAACUGGCUUUUAUUACCUCUAACCAGAUCAUAUUCCUGCUGUGACAUAUGGACAGGUGUAUUUAGGUCCGCAACCUGGUCAAUAUCCCAGUAAGCAGGUAAUGGUGUACAUGUAAUGAUCUUUACAGAUUUGUGUGGUAUGGUGACUGCUUGAGGUCAAAAUUUAAUCUGUCGGUGAAGUACUGAAGGAUCAAAGGAUGUUGAAGGAUAUAGGAUAGAAUUUUAUCUUCUAAUUAAAUAGUCAACUUAAAUCCCUUCAGUUUCAUAUGCAGUAACACAUAUUUCAGUUUGUUUUACUCCCUGGUACAACCAUUAAAUAAGCACUAGAUUUACAUAU